CAGUAGCCACGGUAAUACGAAGGGGGCUAGCGUUGCUCGGAAUGACUGGACGUAAAGGGCGCGUAGGCGGUUCGUUAAGACAGAUGUGAAAUCCCCGGGCUUAACCUGGGAACUGCAUUUGUGACUGGCGAGCUAGAGUAUGGCAGAGGGGGGUAGAAUUCCACGUGUAGCAGUGAAAUGCGUAGAGAUGUGGAGGAAUACCGAUGGCGAAGGCAGCCCCCUGGGCCAAUACUGACGCUCAUGCACGAAAGCGUGGGGAGCAAACAGGAUUAGAUACCCCAGUAGUCCCUGUCUCUUAUAC
rnacentral:rRNA from 1 species